AUCCAUUUAUCUUUCUUCUCUCCAACUUUCAACCUAUUUCUUUCUCUCAAACUCCUCUCUCUCACCCAAAUUAUAAAAUUUUUGCUCCAUUCAUAUUCUAUCUCUCAACAUGCCAUGUAUUGAUAGUUUUACUAUACUUCAGGUGUCUACGACAGAUGAAGUAGUGAAUCUUCAGUUUUUUGGAUCCAAGAAGAGGUUUUGACCUAAUUUUUUUUUUAAACUUUUAUGGUUUCAUAGUAGAAAAAGUCUUUUGUUGGAUGUUUGGUUUUCAUUGAUGAUUAUGUAAUUAAAAUUCUGGGAAUUUAAUCCUGCUCUUUUUACAGCUGUUGUAAUAAAUUUAAUAAAUUUCCUGAAUGUUAAGUUUGAGUUUUUGGCAUGUAUAUUCCUUUACUAAUGUAAUUUUUCUAUUUUUAAUGAUAUAUUUCUUAUAUACUUUGGCUUUUCUUUUCCUUUUUCUGCUAUUUUUUAAUUGUUUUUUAAUCUUUCUUAUCCUACCUCCACACCUCUUCUUUUAAUCUUUAGUUUCCCUUUUUUUUUUGUACUUUCACCUACAAGAUUUUCUACUUUUGUUUAUCCAAGGUUAAAUGUAGUCCUUCAUUUGAGAGAUGAGAUAUUUUGACUCUUGAGAAUUUAUUUUUAUAGAUAAAUGGAUGGACACUUCUGUUGGAAUAGCUUUCACAUCACAUGCCUUAAGUUUUGAAGUUGUAAAGCUAUAUUUUUUAAAUUGCAUUUUAUUAAUCAUCUGCAAUGCCUUUAAGUUUCUUUGUUAUGGGUGAAUAUCAGGUUUUUCAUUCAUAUAACUACGGAGUACUUGUUUAUUUUCUAGACUGGCUAUAUGCUUUAUGAGGAAUAUGGAAGAGCUGCAUCAAUGCGGUUAAAAUUUUUUGCUUCCCAAGGCAAGCAUGCUGAUCAAUUAUCGGUUAGUUAAAUUUAUAUUGCUAUUCCGAUAUCAUGUAUUAGCAAAAAUGGAUUACUGCAGUUAGUAAAUAGAAGAUGAAAGUUGUUUGAUUUUUUUGUUUCAAG
rnacentral:lncRNA from 1 species